GAGUUUGAUCUUGGCUCAGAUUGAACGCUGGCGGCAUGCCUUACACAUGCAAGUCGAACGGUAACAGGUCUUCGGAUGCUGACGAGUGGCGAACGGGUGAGUAAUACAUCGGAACGUGCCCGAUCGUGGGGGGAUAACGAAGCGAAAGCUUUGCUAAUACCGCAUACGAUCUACGGAUGAAAGCAGGGACCGCAAGGCCUUGCGCGAACGGAGCGGCCGAUGGCAGAUUAGGUAGUUGGUGGGAUAAAAGCUUACCAAGCCGACGAUCUGUAGCUGGUCUGAGAGGACGACCAGCCACACUGGGACUGAGGCACGGCCCAGACUCCUACGGGAGGCAGCAGUGGGGAAUUUUGGACAAUGGGCGAAAGCCUGAUCCAGCCAUGCCGCGUGCAGGAUGAAGGCC
rnacentral:rRNA from 1 species